ensembl:snRNA U6 U6 spliceosomal RNA
CUGCUAUAAAGAAUGAGGUAGACCAGGUACAAAUGAUACAGAGAAGAUUAGCAUGGCCACUGUGCAAGAAUAACAUGCAGAUUCAUAAAGUAUCCCAUAUUUUU